rnacentral:rRNA from 1 species
UUACCUACGGGGCGCAGCAGUGGGGAAUAUUGCACAAUGGGGGAAACCCUGAUGCAGCGACGCCGCGUGAGUGAAGAAGUAUUUCGGUAUGUAAAGCUCUAUCAGCAGGGAAGAAAAUGACGGUACCUGAUUAAGAAGCCCCGGCUAACUACGUGCCAGCAGCCGCGGUAAUACGUAGGGGGCAAGCGUUAUCCGGAUUUACUGGGUGUAAAGGGAGCGUAGACGGCAUAGCAAGUCUGAAGUGAAAGCCCAAGGCUCAACCAUGGGACUGCUUUGGAAACUGUUAAGCUAGA